rnacentral:rRNA from 1 species
GGGUUGUGAGGUUAAGCGACUAAGCGUACACGGUGGAUGCCCUGGCAGUCAGAGGCGAUGAAGGACGUGCUAAUCUGCGAUAAGCGUCGGUAAGGUGAUAUGAACCGUUAUAACCGGCGAUUUCCGAAUGGGGAAACCCAGUGUGUUUCGACACACUAUCAUUAACUGAAUCCAUAGGUUAAUGAGGCGAACCGGGGGAACUGAAACAUCUAAGUACCCCGAGGAAAAGAAAUCAACCGAGAUUCCCCCAGUAGCGGCGAGCGAACGGGGAGCAGCCCAGAGCCUGAAUCAGUGUGUGUGUUAGUGGAAGCGUCUGGAAAGGCGCGCGAUACAGGGUGACAGCCCCGUACACAAAAAUGCACAUACUGUGAGCUCGAUGAGUAGGGCGGGACACGUGGUAUCCUGUCUGAAUAUGGGGGGACCAUCCUCCAAGGCUAAAUACUCCUGACUGACCGAUAGUGAACCAGUACCGUGAGGGAAAGGCGAAAAGAACCCCGGCGAGGGGAGUGAAAAAGAACCUGAAACCGUGUACGUACAAGCAGUGGGAGCACAGAGCAAUCUGUGUGACUGCGUACCUUUUGUAUAAUGGGUCAGCGACUUAUAUUCUGUAGCAAGGUUAACCGAAUAGGGGAGCCGAAGGGAAACCGAGUCUUAACUGGGCGUUAAGUUGCAGGGUAUAGACCCGAAACCCGGUGAUCUAGCCAUGGGCAGGUUGAAGGUUGGGUAACACUAACUGGAGGACCGAACCGACUAAUGUUGAAAAAUUAGCGGAUGACUUGUGGCUGGGGGUGAAAGGCCAAUCAAACCGGGAGAUAGCUGGUUCUCCCCGAAAGCUAUUUAGGUAGCGCCUCGUGAAUUCAUCUCCGGGGGUAGAGCACUGUUUCGGCAAGGGGGUCAUCCCGACUUACCAACCCGAUGCAAACUGCGAAUACCGGAGAAUGUUAUCACGGGAGACACACGGCGGGUGCUAACGUCCGUCGUGAAGAGGGAAACAACCCAGACCGCCAGCUAAGGUCCCAAAGUCAUGGUUAAGUGGGAAACGAUGUGGGAAGGCCCAGACAGCCAGGAUGUUGGCUUAGAAGCAGCCAUCAUUUAAAGAAAGCGUAAUAGCUCACUGGUCGAGUCGGCCUGCGCGGAAGAUGUAACGGGGCUAAACCAUGCACCGAAGCUGCGGCAGCGACACUAUGUGUUGUUGGGUAGGGGAGCGUUCUGUAAGCCUGUGAAGGUGUACUGUGAGGUAUGCUGGAGGUAUCAGAAGUGCGAAUGCUGACAUAAGUAACGAUAAAGCGGGUGAAAAGCCCGCUCGCCGGAAGACCAAGGGUUCCUGUCCAACGUUAAUCGGGGCAGGGUGAGUCGACCCCUAAGGCGAGGCCGAAAGGCGUAGUCGAUGGGAAACAGGUUAAUAUUCCUGUACUUGGUGUUACUGCGAAGGGGGGACGGAGAAGGCUAUGUUGGCCGGGCGACGGUUGUCCCGGUUUAAGCGUGUAGGCUGGUUUUCCAGGCAAAUCCGGAAAAUCAAGGCUGAGGCGUGAUGACGAGGCACUACGGUGCUGAAGCAACAAAUGCCCUGCUUCCAGGAAAAGCCUCUAAGCAUCAGGUAACAUCAAAUCGUACCCCAAACCGACACAGGUGGUCAGGUAGAGAAUACCAAGGCGCUUGAGAGAACUCGGGUGAAGGAACUAGGCAAAAUGGUGCCGUAACUUCGGGAGAAGGCACGCUGAUAUGUAGGUGAAGCGACUUGCUCGUGGAGCUGAAAUCAGUCGAAGAUACCAGCUGGCUGCAACUGUUUAUUAAAAACACAGCACUGUGCAAACACGAAAGUGGACGUAUACGGUGUGACGCCUGCCCGGUGCCGGAAGGUUAAUUGAUGGGGUUAGCGGUAACGCGAAGCUCUUGAUCGAAGCCCCGGUAAACGGCGGCCGUAACUAUAACGGUCCUAAGGUAGCGAAAUUCCUUGUCGGGUAAGUUCCGACCUGCACGAAUGGCGUAAUGAUGGCCAGGCUGUCUCCACCCGAGACUCAGUGAAAUUGAACUCGCUGUGAAGAUGCAGUGUACCCGCGGCAAGACGGAAAGACCCCGUGAACCUUUACUAUAGCUUGACACUGAACAUUGAGCCUUGAUGUGUAGGAUAGGUGGGAGGCUUAGAAGUGUGGACGCCAGUCUGCAUGGAGCCGACCUUGAAAUACCACCCUUUAAUGUUUGAUGUUCUAACGUUGGCCCCUGAUCGGGGUUGCGGACAGUGUCUGGUGGGUAGUUUGACUGGGGCGGUCUCCUCCUAAAGAGUAACGGAGGAGCACGAAGGUUGGCUAAUCCUGGUCGGACAUCAGGAGGUUAGUGCAAUGGCAUAAGCCAGCUUGACUGCGAGCGUGACGGCGCGAGCAGGUGCGAAAGCAGGUCAUAGUGAUCCGGUGGUUCUGAAUGGAAGGGCCAUCGCUCAACGGAUAAAAGGUACUCCGGGGAUAACAGGCUGAUACCGCCCAAGAGUUCAUAUCGACGGCGGUGUUUGGCACCUCGAUGUCGGCUCAUCACAUCCUGGGGCUGAAGUAGGUCCCAAGGGUAUGGCUGUUCGCCAUUUAAAGUGGUACGCGAGCUGGGUUUAGAACGUCGUGAGACAGUUCGGUCCCUAUCUGCCGUGGGCGCUGGAGAACUGAGGGGGGCUGCUCCUAGUACGAGAGGACCGGAGUGGACGCAUCACUGGUGUUCGGGUUGUCAUGCCAAUGGCACUGCCCGGUAGCUAAAUGCGGAAGAGAUAAGUGCUGAAAGCAUCUAAGCACGAAACUUGCCCCGAGAUGAGUUCUCCCUGACUCCUUGAGAGUCCUGAAGGAACGUUGAAGACGACGACGUUGAUAGGCCGGGUGUGUAAGCGCAGCGAUGCGUUGAGCUAACCGGUACUAAUGAACCGUGAGGCUUAACCUUACAACGCCGAAGCUGUU